rnacentral:rRNA from 1 species
GACGAACGCUGGCGGCGUGCUUAACACAUGCAAGUCGAACGGUGAAGCGCCUUCCUUUUUGGUGGGUGUGGAUGAGUGGCGAACGGGUGAGUAACACGUGAGUAACCUGCCCCCUUCUUCUGGAUAACCGCAUGAAAGUGUGGCUAAUACGGGAUAUUCUGGGUCUGUCGCAUGAUGGGUCUGGGAAAGAUAUUGUUUCGGUGGGGGAUGGGCUCGCGGCCUAUCAGCUUGUUGGUGGGGUGAUGGCCUACCAAGGCGGUGCCGGGUAGCCGGCCUGAGAGGGUGGACGGUCACACUGGGACUGAGACACGGUCCAGACUCCUACGGGAGGCAGCAGUGGGGAAUAUUGCACAAUGGGCGCAAGCCUGAUGCAGCGACGCCGCGUGAGGGAUGGAGGCCGUCGGGUUGUGAACCUCUUUCGCUAGUGAAGCAGGCCUGCCUCGUUUGUGGGUGGGUUGACGGUAGCUGGAUAAGAAGCGCCGGCUAACUACGUG